rnacentral:lncRNA from 1 species
UAGUUAAAGUGAGUCUCUUGAAAGGUUUCCUCAAUUGUACUUUAAACUAGACUAUGUUAUGAAUAUGGUAUGAUUAUGUGAAAGGUCAUUCUCAAAUAAUGUAGGUGCUAUGAUGAAAGGUCAUUCUCAUCUUAGAAACUUUUGAGCUAUAUGAUAUGAGGGAUUAAGUCCCUAAAGCCUAUUUUAUGAACUAAUGUUAAAUAAAGGCUUAAAGAUGUUUAAAAAGGGAGUUGGAGCUUAGCACGAGUGAACAUGAAAAAUGAGAGUGGGGAC